AUGGCCGGCCGGCCGCCGUUCACCAACGUGGACUCCGCGACGGAGGCCGAUCUGCGGCGCAGGGGCCUCGACCCGCACGAGGUGGACCGAUCCACGGAGCAGCGGCUCACCCACAUCUGCACCGAUCUCGUCCCCGCCCUGCCGGCCUCCGACCCCCGGCGGCACACGCCCCUGCACAAGAUUCUCUCCCGCCUCGCCGUCACGGACCCCGCGCGCAACCCCGCCCUCCCCGCGCCCGACGGCGUCGACCGCCUCAGCCUCCUCCGCGACGCGCUCCUGCGCGAAAUCCUCUGCCGCCUCCCCGUCAAGGACGGCGCGUGCACCUCCGUCCUCGCCUCGCGCUGGCGCCGCGUCUGGCUCUCCACGCCCCAAGUCCUGGCCGACGCCCACCUCCGCCCCAAAGGCUGCGGCUUGCCCCCCACGCCCGCCGACUCGCCGGCCAUCGUCGCCGCCUUCUCCAGCAUCCUCGAAGCGCACACGGGCGCCAUCCCCACCGUCCACCUCACCUGCACCCACACGAACGCGUACCAGGCCCAGCUCGCGCGCUGGCUCCACCUCCUCGCCACCAAGGGCGUCCAGGAGCUCGUCCUCGUCAACCGCCCGUGGCCGCUCGACGUGCCCCUCCCGCCCGCGCUCUUCAGCAUCACCACCCUCGCUUGCCUCUACAUCGGCCUCUGGAAGUUCCCGGACGUGGCCAGGUUACCGCCCGGCACCUCCUUCCCCCAUCUCCGUGAGCUCGGCAUCUGCAGCGUCGUCAUGGAGGACGGGGACAUCGACUUUGUCGUCGCCAAGAGCCCCAUCCUGGAGACCCUCAACAUCCAUGGAUGCAACAAGGGGCUGCGCCUUCGCCUCGUCAGCCAGAGCCUCCGGUGCGUCCAAAUUUGCAGCUCUGUUCUGGAGGACAUUGCCGUGGUGAAGGCACCUCGCCUCGAGCGGCUCAUCCUGGAGGGCCUUCGGAGCAACGCCGGUGGCUUGUGCACCAGAGUCAGGAUUGGCGAUGCUCCCAAGCUGCACGCAUUAGGAAUCUUGGAGCCAGGGAACACCAUGCUAGAGAUCCGAGACACCAUCGUUAUGGCCGGGAUGAAGGCAAGCUCAAGCACCAUGGCCACCAGCGUCAAGGUCCUGAGUCUGAAUGUGCGUUUCGCAAACCACACGGAUGCCAAGAUGGUUCCCUCCUUCCUCGGCUGCUUUCCCAAUUUGGAGGCACUGCACAUUAUUUCUGAAAAAUGUGAUCAUCAAGCCGGCAGUGCCAGGAUGAACCUCAACUUCUGGAAGCAGGCCAAGCCCACUGAAAGCCUCAAGUCGUGUAUCAAGGUGUUCUCUUACAGAGAAUUCCGAGGGGAGCUUGGGGAGGUUGCCUUCAUCAAGUUCUUCUUCCGGAACGCGAGGGCGCUGAGGACUGCGUCCAUCUCCAUGGCUAACCCGAGCUUCAUGACAUUCUCGAUGGAUGAGGCGACUUGUAAAGCAAAGCAAGCUUCUAACAAUAUGGCCAGUAGGUCCUGCGAAAUGGUGCUUCUCGGAAGCACAGGUCCUGAAGGAGGUAGCCCCUGGAGCUUCAAGAGAGGGACGGAUUACUCCUUUGAGGACCCUUUCUCAGCGGUGCAGAUUCACAACAUAGCUUAA
rnacentral:rRNA from 1 species